GACGAACGCUGGCGGCGUGCCUAAUACAUGCAAGUAGAACGCUGAAGGAGGAGCUUGCUCUUUCCGGAUGAGUUGCGAACGGGUGAGUAACGCGUAGGUAACCUGCCUGGUAGCGGGGGAUAACUAUUGGAGACGAUAGCUAAUACCGCAUAAUAGCAGUUAUUGCAUGAUAACUGUUUGAAAGGUGCAAAUGCACCACUACCAGAUGGACCUGCGUUGUAUUAGCUAGUUGGUGAGGUAACGGCUCACCAAGGCGACGAUACAUAGCCGACCUGAGAGGGUGAUCGGCCACACUGGGACUGAGACACGGCCCAGACUCCUACGGGAGGCAGCAGUAGGGAAUCUUCGGCAAUAGACGGAAGUCUGACCGAGCAACGCCGCGUGAGUGAAGAAGGUUUUCGGAUCGUAAAGCUCUGUUGUAAGAGAAGAACGAGUGUGAGAGUGGAAAGUUCACACUGGACG
rnacentral:rRNA from 1 species